AAGACUCGGUAAGACCUUAGACGCAAACGUUAAUCGUCAUAAUCAGGCGUAAAGGGUGUGUAGGCUGCUUUAAAAAAUAUAAUAAGUAAUAUAAUUAUUAUAGCAAAAAAAUUAUAUUUUAAUAAAAGCUAGAAUCUAAAAGAGGGUAAGCUAAACAACAUAAUUAACUGGGACUGACAACUUAUAAUAAUGUGGAGUACUAAAGGUUAAAGCUAUUUAUCUACUGAAGAUUGACGCUGAGAAACGAAGGGGAGAAUAAGAAACUUAGAUUAGAGACCUAAUUAUCUCUCUCAGUCAACGAUGAAUGGUAGUUAUUAAAAAUUUUAUAAUUUUAGUAACGAGGUUAACACGAUGACCAUUCCGCCUUGUUAGUAAGACUGCAAAGUUGAAAACAAAAAAAUUAGUCGGUCUUGAAGCAAACGAAGUGAAGCAUGUUAUUUAAUUCGAUAAUCCGCG
rnacentral:rRNA from 1 species